rnacentral:RNase_P_RNA from 1 species
ACGUUGGACCGGAUGGUCGCUGUCCUGGUUGUGGACGCCGGGGUUACCCGGGCUGCACGGCCAGGAGAGAGGAAAGUCCGAACUCCACAGAGCAGUGUGCCGGAUAACGUCCGGGAGGGUGGCUUCAAGGCCAUUCGACGGAAAGUGCCACAGAGAAUAUACCGCCACGGGCGCAAGCCUGAGGUAAGGGUGAAAAGGUGCGGUAAGAGCGCACCGCCCGGGCAGCAAUGCACGGGGCAUGGCAAACCCCACAUGGAGCAAGACCAAAUAGGGAAGGAAUUCCGGAUAGCAAUAUCCAGAAUGCGUCUCGGCUCGAGGCGCCAAACUUUCGGGUAGGUCGCUUGAGCCGUUCAGCGAUGACCGGCCUAGAGGAAUGACCGUCACGGCGGUAACGCCGUACAGAAUUCGGCUUAUAGGUCCAGCAUCACU